rnacentral:piRNA from 1 species
GCCAAGUUUUCUGUUGUGCUUUCUG